GCUCGGUGGAAGCCCUGCAUGAGGUUC
rnacentral:piRNA from 1 species